rnacentral:tRNA from 1 species
UACUGGGGUGGCAGAGCAUGGUAAUUGCGAAAGGCCUAAGCCCUUUAAGUCAGAGGUUCAAAUCCUCUUCCCAGUUU